GCACAGUCUGGCAUACGAAUGGGAACCGCGCCGUCGUCGACGUCGCUCUGUGGUUUGCGUUCAUUUCUACCUUUAAACCGAUUCCUUUAGGUUUUUUUUUCUUUUUUCUUUUACAGGUACUUUGUCAAGAGUAACAAACGAUAUCUGGGAGACGCUGAUGGACGCUGCGUCUAGUCAACGACCGUAGGUUGUGCACGGCUGCCGGAGCACCUUCGGGAAACGCUAACCGCCGUGCAUCUCUGCUCCCACGGUCCUGCUCGACAGUGGCUGAGAUGUGCAACACAGUUGCGCCCAACUUCCCUCUAUGCUACAAGCACCCCAGGAGCUACUAUCGCCCGAAGAUGUCACAGGUGGUCAUGAUUCUUUGAGGCAGCGGAAUUUCACCGCAGUGCAUCUUUAACACCUUCAGUUUCUUUUCUACUGCAAGCCUGGUACUACAGCUUGUGGCCCGUGUAGAAGAAUAGAGGGGUGAAACCAAGGCUCAAGUGACUGUGGACUCAUGGCCCUCAGACAGCUAGAGCACCAGACCAGGCACAGACCAGAGCCAUUUAUGCUCCACUUCUAGAGGACAUGUUGCAGUUUGAAACUACCAAGACUCAUGGAAGCUGCUGACAGGAGGCUGUUGAAGCCGUGGUCGCAAGGCACCCAUGACAUUGAAGUCUUCCAAACAAGGCACUAUGAAGGCAUGACUUGUAGCGGCACUGGAGCAAGCGACACGGUCCGGGUUGGUGACCAACCCAAAACCGCCCUCGGCCACUGGUGUUCUGCCGGUGCCAGGAUCCCAGGUCGGUGGCCGACCCAAAGCCACCCUCGGCCACUGGCGUCCUGCCGGUGCCACGAUAUCAUCUCGGUGGCCGACCCAAAGCCGCCAUCGGCCAUUGGGGUCCUGCUGGUGCCAGGAUUUCAGGUAGGUGGCCGACCCAAAUCCGCC
rnacentral:lncRNA from 1 species